GCAGAUUUGUAAAUUCACGGUGACCAUCGGAUUCUCGGACCAGUGUUUAUAAGAAAACUACUUUAUUUGGUAAAAGAGAGAGACCGGAGCAGCUGCUGCCUCGUUGAUAAAAUGAAAGUAAAAAGAUCAGAGGAGCGGCAGCAGGCGUGGGCGAGGUUACGAACUCAAACACCUCCGAUCCUCAGUUUUAGUGAGCAACAGCGGGCAACAACUGAAUGAAGUAGCUGCUGAAAGGAUCAACAUGCAAAGGCCUCACAUGGUCCCAGAAUGAGCUCCUCUACCUCCACAGAUUGUGAGCUUGACUUUCUAAAGCCCAUCCUGCAGGUUCAAACUGGACUUCGGAGGAACUGGCACACAGAUUCACCACAAACCACAUCUGUACAUGUUAAGCCAGGGAAAUUUGUUUUGGAAUUUUUAUGUUCACAGUUGCGUGUCUGUGUGUCAGCUUCUUCUGCUAACCCCAACUGGUCAUGGCCUCCCCUCCCUGAGCUUGUUCUGCUGGAGGUGUCUUCCUGUUAAAAGGAGGGUUGUUUUUCUUCCCACUGUUGCCAAGUGCUGGAUCAUAGUGGUCAGCUGAUUGUUGCGGUUUUCUCUGGGCUAUUGUAGAGUCUUUACAAUAAAAAGCAUCUUGAGAUGACUGUUUUUGCAAUUUGGAAAAAUAUAAAGAA